CCCACUCUCCACCGUUCCAAUCCCCACACACGCACUCACCACAGUUCCAAUCCCGCACCCGCACUCGCUCGCCGAAACCCUAGCCGCCCCGCCCCCGCACCUUGGCCGACCCUCAGCCCUUCGACGGCGAGGAGCCCUCAGCCCGUCGCCUGACUUUACCGACAAAUCAAGCGACCGCGUGCCCACCAAAUCCCAAAUCUCACCGUCUCCGCCCUCUCCUCGUCGCCUCCACCAAGAUCGCAUCAACCACCUCGAUGGCCGCCGCCGCACCGCCGCAUGCCGCGGCGCUCCUAGCCGCCCUCUCCCUCGCCCUGCUCGCGCUCAGGCCCCGGUGGUGGCCGAGAUCCGGUCGAUGGCGAUCCAGGCCGACCGGCGCACUAUGAUCUCGUGCGGUGUGGGAGAGCGGCAUGGUGGCGGAGAAACCUCGGCGACUAGACGACGGCGCAGGUUGACUUCGGUCCGGCGUGGUGAAUCUGCAGCGGCGAUCAGAUCAAGGCAAGGUACCAAUUGGCAAUGAGAGACAUAAGGGGAAUGCUGACAUCACAUUCCAUGCUCCUUCAGACAUGGAGUCCAGGUGCGCACGGCUCAGUCGCCCCGCGCGUGGCCGCCUUGGAGUUGGAGCGCUUCCUGCCCCAUGCCCCUUGUCUGCUUUGGUGGCGGGUUCCUCCUGGCCGCGAUGAUGCCCGAGGCCGGCCGCUACACCCACAAGAAGGAUGACGGCAUCUGCAACAGACGAUGAGUGCGGCGAUGAGUCCGACCAGGGCGUGCUGGCAGAGGAGGCCCAGGAGCUCGCCGCCCCUGAUGGCGAGGGCGUGCCCGACUUGGAUGGUGGCCGCCAAGGACAACGCCACUGAGGACGUCGUCCCGGAGUUCAUUGAUGGCCUCAUCCCAUUUGACAAGGAGUGUGCCACUACUAGUGCGUCCCUGUGGACGGCAGGAGAAAUAGUGAGGAUGAAGAGGUGAAUGGUGUUGAUUGUUGAACUGAAAGCUUGAUUUGGUCAGGUGGAGGGUGGCUUUGUGAAGGAUGGGGAGGUGGGAGAAGAACUCUGAAGGAAAGCGGUGAGUAGAUGUCGAUGAUGUCUACUUGCUUGGCUGCUAUGGUGAUGCAUGCACCGGUGAAGCACGCACACAUGCAAGGUUGGCCCCAUGUCUUCCUUGGCUGCGAACAUCAUCUAUAGGCUAGCAGUAUGACCGGAUGCGAGGACCUGCUCACUGACCAGGACAAUCUAUGAGCUCCCAGCACCUCUGAUAGAAGGUGUGUUAGGGCCAACCUCUUUCGGAAGAAGGCCACACUCGUAGCCCCUCUGGAUCAAAAUUGGAUGGCAAGUUUUUGCAACUGGAGCAAGUCUCACAAGAGAGAGCAAUGAAGUCCAUUGUACUCUCCUGUUAUAUACUUCUUGUUGUAGGAUGGCAAGUUGUAGGAUGUGCCAUAAUUGUCUUAUUGCAUAUUCCCUUUGUUCCUUCUAUAUUCCUCUAUAAGGAAAUGUAUUCCUAAGAUGAUUUGUUAUGUAAACCUGAUGUGAUGCGAUGGAUGAUUUGAAUUUCAUAUGGAGUUUUCUUGAUUUGAAUAUAAAA